AUGAUAAUCUAUCUUAAAAGCAUUUUUAUUUAAUAAAAUACAGAGUCAGCUCAAGCAAGCACAUGCAAUGAGAGACAAAAGGAUUGGUGUUAUUUAAAACUUGAGCACAGGAAGAUCUGAAGAGGAUACUGAGUGAAAUUCAAUCCAGUAAAGUUGAUACAUUCUUGGCAGCUAUUUAAGAUCCUCCAGGUUGAAUGCUAUGAGAAGGGUGAUGGAUCAUUUCUAAGCUUCCAGAAACCUCAGCUCAGAUCUUCAGACUGAAUCUGGAAAAAUGAUUACCUGAAUGUCCUCCAAAACAACACAGGGCCUCUGCUGAAAUUCUUUUCUUUUAUUAUUUAUAGAUGGGAAACAAUAUCUGCUAGUAUCAAAAUGUAAAUCAGUUUAUAACCAUACAGAGUUGGAGGACAAACACGGACAUUGCUCGUACCUGAGCUUGCAGUUACCUACCUGGCACUGACUGUUUUCUUGAAAGAAAAAUCCAAAAGAAAGAGAGCAUGAUAGGCAUGUUUUUGCAGACUGCAAGACAUCACCAUUUACAGAAGGAGGCUACUGUCAUCAUUUGGAGAGUAUAACAGAAAAUGCAUCCCAAAUAGAGACAGAAUGGCUUUUCGGCCUGGCAGAGCCCUGGCUCACACUGUUUCAGUGGCGAACAUCCAGGGUGAUAAUCCCUGCAAGCAAUCGCUUAGCUGGUGCUGAUCCUCCAGCAGGCUGUUGGAGCAAAGGUUAUCAGGGAGCACUGUCACUGCUGGAGCUGUGUAUGGCAUGUUCUAUGCUGAGUUUCUCAUGUCAAGUGAAGCAGGUGAUUGAAUUCACCAGGCUGUCUUCAGACCAAUUUUUCUGCCGCAUUAAAGUGACAUUCACUGUAAUGAAAUGUUGGUCUUCGCUGAGAACACUGAAUGGUGCAGUCUGAUAUCCAAGCUGCUUUACAGUACAUGCAGAGCAUGUACUUUUUCUUUUUUUAAUUCUUAUUCCUAGCAUGGUUGUUUAUGUGGGGUUAAUUUUCCACUUGGUCUUUUUUCAGCACAGUUUCACCUAUGGAGCUGAAAAGACACAAGCAUUUAUCUUUUUAGAUACUGGGCGAUAAAAAUAACAUAGGAAUAUCAAAUCUCAUUAGGUUUCUGAUACCAACAGCUAUACCAAGGAACAAAUCCACUUUCUCUUCCCACAAAAGCUCUGUACGUAUGCAAUCACUUAUUACAUCAUUCCUGAUACAAUUUAAAUAAUAGUUCACUUUCUUUUCCCAAGUUUUGAACUUUCAUCUUUUAAAUCUGCUUCCUACAGUAAAGUAUACUAGCUGUAUACAUGAUUUUACUGUGAAAUAUUAAACUGGAAAAAAAAUUUUGAAAUAUACAAAUAUUUUCCUUAAUAUCCACUCCUAAUUCAAAAUCAGGCUCAUCUCGAAUCAAUUUUAUUUAUAUCUUUGUAGUUAGUCCCAAAGGGCUUUUUGCAACCUAAUUUUUCUUUGAUUUAUUGAUCGUUUUACAAAACUGGAGAUGUUUGGUUGUUCAUCCAAGCUAGCUUGGAUGUAGAGUUCAUAAAUUUGUGAGCUCUAUUGUCACACAAACA
rnacentral:lncRNA from 1 species